rnacentral:rRNA from 1 species
UCGGGAAUUUUGGGCAAUGGGCGCAAGCCUGACCCAGCAACGCCGCGUGAAGGAUGAAGUUUUUCGGAAUGUAAACUUCACAAGAAUGGGACGAAGAGAAGAGGGCUAAUACCUUUCUGAUUUGACGGUACCAUUUGUAAGCUCCGGCUAACUCCGUGCCAGCAGCCGCGGUAAUACGGGGGGAGCAAGCGUUGUUCGGAUUUACUGGGCGUAAAGGGCGCGUAGGCGGCGCGACAAGUCACCUGUGAAAUCUCCGGGCUUAACUCGGAGCGGUCAAGUGAUACUGUCGCGCUAGAGUGCGGAAGGGGCAACUGGAAUUCUCGGUGUAGCGGUGAAAUGCGUAGAUAUCGAGAGGAACACCUGCGGCGAAGGCGGGUUGCUGGGCCGACACUGACGCUGACAGCGCGAAAGCUAGGGGAGCGAACGGGAUUAGAUACCCGCGUAGUCC